rnacentral:rRNA from 1 species
GGAUGAACGCUGGCGGCGUGCCUAAUACAUGCAAGUCGAACGAGGUGCUGGAGUAGCAAUACGAAGGUAUCCUAGUGGCGAACGGGUGAGUAACGCGUUGGUGACCUACCCCAAAGUGUGGGAUAACAGUUCGAAAGGACUGCUAAUACCGCAUGUGGUUAUUGGAAUUAGAACCUGAUAACUAAAGGAGCAAUUCGCUUUGGGAGGGACCUGCGUCCCAUCAGCUAGUUGGUGAGGUAAUGGCUCACCAAGGCUACGACGGGUAGGGGACCUGAGAGGGUGACCCCCCACAAUGGAACUGAAACACGGUCCAUACACCUACGGGUGGCAGCAGUAGGGAAUAUUGCACAAUGGGCGAAAGCCUGAUGCAGCAACGCCGCGUGUGCGAUGAAGGCCUUCGGGUCGUAAAGCACUUUUCUGAGGGAUGAGCAAGGACAGUACCUCAGGAAUAAGUCUC